AUUGAACGCUGGCGGCAGGCUUAACACAUGCAAGUCGAGCGAGCGGCGGACGGGUGAGUAAUGUCUGGGAAACUGCCUGAUGGAGGGGGAUCACUACCGGAAACGGUUACUACUACCGCAUACCAUCAGCUGGGCCCAGAUGGGAUUCGCUAGUGGGGGGGGUAAUGGCUCACCAAGGCGACGAUCCCGAGCUGGUCUGAGAGGAUGACCAGCCACACUGGAACUGAGACACGGUCCAGACUCCUACGGGAGGCAGCAGUGGGGAAGAUUGCACAAUGGGCGCAAGCCUGAUGCAGCCAUGCCGCGUGUGUGAAGAAGGCCUUCGGGUUGUAAAGCACUUUCAGUGAGGAGGCGUUACGAGAAGAAGAAGCACCGGCUAACUCCGUGCCAGCAGCCGCGGUAAUUC
rnacentral:rRNA from 1 species